GGACCCCCCCUUUUACACGGCAGGGAGGGCAGGGUCCAUCUCCCCCUCCCUGCUGGAGACGGAGCUGAGCCUGAGAUCUCUCGUGGGCUCCCAGCCGUGAUGCUCUGCAGCCCUCCCUGCCCACCGCUUGGAGCAUAAUUAUCUGAAAUUGUGUCAAAAAUAAUAAUCCAGCGGGUUUCACUGUAAUUUUACUUAUAUUCUUAUAAAUUAAAAGCUGAAGUGAGAGCUAUUAACAUCUGUAGAGGGGCAGCCCACGAGGAAAUGCCCCCAAAAAGGCUCCUGCUGCCAAAAGGGACCCAGGCUGCCGCUGGCAUUCCUUUUUUUUUUCCCAUGGUAUAUGUGUCCAAGUCCUAAAUGUCAGCUCAGGGAUGGAUAAUAAUUACUAUUGUUCAGAAAUGUAACUAAUUGGCCAUUCCAGCGGGGUUAUUGCCGUACUUCUGUUGCUGCUCAUCGUAAAGAGGUGUUUGUAUUAUGGUGGCACGGAAAAAUACUGCUUUUCUUAUGCCUUGCUUGACAUUAGCAUACGCUCAGAAAGCCAUUUGGUCUAGUAGUUCAGUAGCUAUUUUUUAAAUAAGACAAUCUCUGUGUUUAGAACCGGUGAAGUUUAUUCCAGAUGGCUUCAUGCACCACCUGCGUGCACGUACGGAAUACACGGGCAGCUGCGGAUCCUGCAGUGGGCUGCUGCGGCCAAGGGACCCAAACCCCAGCAACAGAGGAAGGGUAAAUUUUGGUCAAAAAAUGAAUCAUUGCUUUUACAAAAAUCACUUCUGCACAUUCUCUGCCCUAGGAGAACAGUGAGAGGGUCAGACCUCGAUGCAGUUAAACGUACUUGUCCCCCAGGUCUGCCUUUAAAGCCCUAUCUAGUCCUUUAAAUUUAAGGGGUGCAGGUCUAUAUUGAAAUCAUCCCAUUGUACUGACCCAUCCCUUCCGUGAGCAAUCAAGAUUUGAAAAGAAAAACAAACCACAACACAACAAACCAACAAAACCACCAGAGAUGCAAAUUUUAUAACUUGCACGUAGAACUUGAGCUUAAAAUGUUCCAUAAGAAAGGAUUCUAAAACUGAAGUGAGCGCAAUUAGUUACCAGUUAGAAAAGUCUGUUAAUUUGGGGUUUCCCCCCACCCCCUCCACAACAUUCUUGUUACUCCUUUGGGCAGUUCUCUAAUUUGAAUUGUGAGAGCUAUAAAGUCAAUUUAUUGCUCUAGCCUAUAAACACAGUGUCAAUUUCUUUAUAGCACACUGAAACAUAACGAUGAUGAAUAGCACAAGGAAAUACAUAGGAUCAAAACUGCUUUAUUUCUUCUAAGUCUGAACAGCUAUAUGUAUUACUGUAAAAAAAAAAUUAAACUUUUCAGUGUUGUAUUUUUAUUUGGGAUUUCUGAGAGUCUCCUUAACAUUUUGAAGGCUUACUGGCUGCGACACAAACACGCUGUUGUGCCGUCGUUUCAUACAGCUAUGUUACAUAUAGCUCUACAACUGGGCACAAAACAGCAGGGGACCUCAGGGCUGUGCUUUCGUGGUACGUGGGUCAUAUUCUGAAAGUUUUUCCACAGGUUUGGGAGGGUUUUCCCCCCUCUUUUAGCUUGGAAAGACCAAUUCAGUGGAUGCAACAAGCUGCCAGAUGCAGAAAAAGCAUGCUGGUCUGAUUCAUCAUCUGCAGUAUCUGGAAUGUGAUGUAAUGCCCAUUGUAUUUCUCACAUUUAAUGUGUUGUUUCUGAUGCUCCAGCACAAGCUUUGUUGUUCCAAUAGCCUCAGGCUGUCAGAGAGAGAAGCUUUCUCGUUAGGUUAAUUUAUUUCUAAUUUUCAUCGUUCAAAUAAACCACAUAAAAUAAUUUCCCCAUUCACUUAGAUUGUCUGGAACAGCGCUGUAACCCUUCAUCAAAUGCUCCUUUUCCUCCCCUCAGCUCCUGGAUCAUCAGAUCCAUAUCUCCAUCUCUUCAUCACCUCAUUUGUAUACUGCUGUUUCAGCACUGCUUCUGCUGCAUCUGUCCUGUCUUGCCUCUUCCCUGUGGCCACGACAAGGCUCAUUUUUCCAGGCUGCCGCGCCAUCUCCCACAUCAACGUGUACUGGCAUCCUCCUGGCAAGAACCCUUUUCUCCCCCAUUCCAGAUGGAAAACCAUACCCCAUUUAACUUCUUGAGUAUCUUCUUGACCUAACUCCUUCACCUGAACCUCUUUGUCCCUCUUCUUCACCUAGUAAAACCACUGUCUCAGGUCUUUGCCUUAAAAACAAGCCUCCCCACACCUGGACCGCAGUCCCUGAAAGCUGCUCACCAACCCUCUUUCAGACAUCGUAGGAAGCUGUUCUGUCCUUUUUCCCAUCUAUACUUCUUUGUUUCUGCUUUUGUUGGGGUUACUUGAUUUUUCUUCGUGACAUGAUCCCAUUUUGAGAAGCAUGUAGAUUAAAGCAUGACAAAGAAAAAUGCUCCAGUACCAUAAACUCAUUUGAGUUAUAGGAGCAGACUAUGCCUCGCUGGCCCUGUUGACCUCCUGGACUACAUUUGUGCAUGAUAAAUAGGUACUUGCGCCUAGAUUUCCAAAUUAAACUGUGCACAGAAUUGGGCUAUGCAUUGUGGUACCCAUCAAGCUUCCCUUGUGCAAGUCAGCAGCUGGCCGUGAUUUAACACACCAAUCUAGAAGAUGGAAAAACUUCAGCUCUCUUUGUGUUUCUGUUAGAACCUGCUAAAUAAUAAUGCAACUGAAAUGUAAUUACUUUGCAUCCUGCAUGGAGAAUACAAAACAUGGUGAAGGUAUUGAUAGAGUUUACUGGUUUAGAGCAAGCCACAAUACAUUUAAUUAAAGUGGCCUCACAUAAAACACAUUGCAAAUACAACAAAGUUAGCCUGUUUUGGUUCACAAGGUCAUUCCCCACCCCACCACCACCCCACCACCCCCCCCAAAAAAAAAAAAAGAAUAGUUGUUUGAGGAUUUUUCCCCCCUAAGCAAGCUGAAUUAAUCCCUGUAUACUGCAAGGAAAGGUUUGACUAAAGGAAGUUUGGUGGUUAGUGUGUUUUAAUAGCAUCUAUCUAAUCAUCUCAAAAAUUUUAAAGUGAUUUUACUUCAAACUAAAUGAAAAACAUACUAUUAGGGGAAGUAUUUCAUCACAUGCAUUCACUAUUGGCUACCCUUUUGCCUGAUCUGUACCCACCCAAAUAGCGUUUUCCCCCCUGAUAUUUCCCUAAGAAACACAGGCAGCAGGCACAGUAAUAAGUAAGGAAACAAUUCACAUCACACACACACAAACACACCAGUCUUUACUGGGUGCAUCCAGUCUUAGGAAGAGGGAGCUUUUCAGUUCACUAGGAAAACCCAUUUAGCAAAGCCAUGCUGUGGUAUAGGGAUGGGAAAUGCAAGUUCUGGCUGCAAAAAUGCCUGCAGGGAAAAUACUUUGCCACUCACACACCGGUAUCUCCCUGACUCCAUUAUAACAGUAUUUAUUAAGGCUGCUACUGCUGCUUCUGGUGGUGUCUCGAGAUCUUUGGGUUUAGGGGGAAGAUAGAAAUCAACCGAGAGAGUUUAGCAUUUCACAAGUUUUGAUGUAACCUGCCUGUUUGCAAGCUUUUCCAGGGCGAGAAAAAUAUUUUUCAUUCUUCUUGUGCACAGCUGCUACUGUGGCGCCCUGACCCUUAAGCAAAGCAGCUGGGUGGCAGUGGUACCAGUAAAUGCCCUGGCUCACAGGCUAUGGCAAGUACAGGAACACCAGUGCAGCAGAGUUGCUCUUCGCAUUGCAAGACUUCUUAACUCUUGGAACAUCUCCCAGAAAUCCACACUGGACAGGUGUAGUUCAACUUCAAAUCCAGGUCAACUGCUUCUUCAUCUGGGAUUACUGUUUAUUCAGUAAGUGCGGCUCUUCCCGGGGAAAGAUAUCUACAAUUAGCCUUACAAUACUUAACUGAAAGUACCAAAUUUGUUUUGGUCAAUGUUUCACCCGAGUUCAGGUGGCACCACUACCCACUUCUGGUUAUGUAGAAGCAUUGUUAUUAGUAGGAAAUAAUUUGUGCAUCAACUGCAGGGUAAACACAGAGGCUGUUUGGGUUUCCUCUGCUUUAGGCAAGCUGGAGGGACUCAGAAUACUAUUAACAACGCGUUGUGAGAUUUCCGAGUUUGCUAGAAAGUUGAAUAUUCUCUACUAAAAUUAGUCCUGCAUCUAGACAUUAUAAUGAAGUCUUUUAAAAAGUCAUCAUAAACAUUUACAGGAUUUAAAGGCCUUUUCCUUUUGCUAGAAAAUUUCCAUGUCUGCAGCCCUGGGAAAGGACUUGUUAAUACACAUCCCUUUGAUUGCUGUUUUCAAAAAAGCGAUGAUGAGAUGGUAGAGUCAGUCUUACCAGCCUCUGUUGGGAAAGAGGGGAUCUUCACAGAUAGGCCUCCUGCUUCUGGGUACACUCAGUAGAUAGAGAAAAGCAACAUGGAAAAAAGUUUGGUGAUAACUUACAAUAGAUGUUUAGAGAGCAGGCACAUGUUUAAAAAUAAAUCAUAGUAUAGGAUCUACUUUAUUUCAUAUGAAAGCCAUACACUGUUUAUCCAGGCUUUUAAUAAAUCAGCAAAAAAUAAGUCCCCUAGCUGCAAAAACUAUUAUUUUUCUAUAUUUCUCAAUCAGCUGGUCAGUCUUCCUCCCUUGCCAGACUUUAGAGAUGUAAGAAAUCCGACCUUCUUGGGGACAUAGAAGCUGGCAGGGGGCUUUCCAAGACACGGAGCCCUCUCCGUCACAGGCACUGCUAUUAACUUAAGCAGGUUUUCACUUAAGAGAGAGACUUUUGUUCUGCAGCCUUGAACAAGAGACUAAAAACAUCACUGAAGAUCAGGUUUUUCCAAGGCCCAUCUCUACUUAUUUGUUCCUGUGCCAACGUUUUUAUGCAGUUUAAAUACGGGACUUUUUUCUCUCCCCAGUGUUUACUCUCCUGAUGUAUUUAUAGACAGCAAUCAUAUCCUCUCCAGAAGUUUAUUUUGUUAGACUAUGCAAGCCACAUUUCUUUCACCUUCUCCUGUAUAACACAUUCCUUAUUCCCCCAUCUGUCUUACUAGUCCUUCUGCUGUAGUGGAGCAACAAGACUUUUAAAAAAAAUUUUCAUCUUAAACAAUACAUUUUCUAAAACAGCUUUAGAAGCCCUAAUCAAGUUUGUAAGGGUAAGAAAACUUGUCCUAGGAAGUCCCCUAUCCAUGCAUCUGGAUCUCCCAGUUUGUGAGAGUACUCACCAACUACACUCUCAUUAUUUAGCCGAGAGAAGAUGAGUAAGAGUUAUCUGGAGAUAGCAGACAGGGUCACGUAAAAAUCCAGGUCAUCAAACAGGUCUGAGGUCUAGACGGGAAUUAAACCUGCAGGUCAUGAUGCAGUCUAGCAAAGACAAUCAGGAUUAGGCAAAAGCCAGUAAUUGCUUACUAAGUCCAUGACAGUAAGGUUCAAGAUCAAGCUGCAAAGUGGUGUUAGAAGCCCAUGGCCAGGUACAACCGCCCUCCAGCUGAAGCCCCACGCUCCUCUAGGAUCACUCAAGCAACACAUGAGGUCCCAGGGCUCCGCUGGAAUAGAGCAUCUGGGCAGGAGAUAAUCUUCAUUGGCAAAGCUCAUGUGAUGUUAUUCAGGUGCACCCAAACAUUCUGUGUUCCAGGUGUGCCCAGGCACCUGGCCAACCUGACCCAAAACUGAGGCAUUUUCUUCAAAGCAGUGGAUUUACACAGUAAGGUGGACUAGAAGAGAUAAAGAUGAGAGGACGCCUUCAGCCCGCUGUAGGAAGAUAUUACGAUGCAAGAGGGUAGUGAACUGAGCACUGAUGGUUUCGCUUUUGAAGUGGAACGCCUGUGUUGCACCCUUGCAGCAGGACUUCGGCUCUUCCGCGCUGGUGUGCCUGCAGUGUAGUGCUAGGAGCAGGCCAUGUCACUGGAGGUGAGAAUGCAGCUGAGGUCGUACUUAUCUGUGAGACUUCCCCAAGAGUCACCAGAUUGAAACCGCUUUUUGGAAGAACAAGGAUAAUGCUGUUGUAAUCAAGGCGCUCUCAGUAAAAAUACUCCGAAGCAAAUCAAGUAUCUGGUAUGUCAUGCCGGCACAUGGGGAUGCCACUUUCUUUUGUGUUAGCCAGUGUUGUACCACGAAGCACUGUAUCAAAACAGGUCGACUGGGUGCAUUCUGGUUGUACUGUUGCUUUGAUGCUGGCACCACAUGGCUGCGGAAAUUCAGGCUCUCGUAAGGGCCCUCGAACUUGGCUUGACUCUCUGCUCAAGGCAUUUGUGACUCAAUUGCAAGAGGUGCAUGGUAACCUGCAGCCAGUUACUUUGGUUUCUGCUGUGCCCCCAAAAUCAAACCUUCGCAUACGCCAAAUUAACAAGCCCUUUUUUUCUAUUUGCAGCUGUUUUGCCAUCCUCAAAAUGUGUUGACUCACAGAGGGGCUGUGAAUGUUAAUUAAUACUCACCAAGCACUAUGUAAAUAUAAAAGUAUAUUAAUCUGUAUAACGCUUUAAAUGCUAUAUUAAUUCAACCUCGAAUGAAAGCCCCUAUCCAAAGAUUUAUAAAGAGCUUGUGCAUUUUGGCCUGGUGAGAAAGAAAAAUAGCUUUUUUUUUAUUUUAAGAAAAGGGAAAAGUUUAACUUGAAAUGUCCUGUUAUUUACUCAUAUAUUCACGUUACACAAUAAAAUAUUUACAUUGAAAUGUA